UACGGAGGGUGCAAGCGUUAUCCGGAAUCACUGGGUUUAAAGGGUGCGUAGGUGGGCCGAUAAGUCAGAGGUGAAAGCCCGUUGCUUAACAACGGAAUUGCCUUUGAUACUGUCGGUCUUGAAUCAGGUUGAGGUAUGCGGAAUGUGGCAUGUAGCGGUGAAAUGCGUAGAUAUGCCAUAGAACACCGAUUGCGAAGGCAGCAUACUGGCCCUGUAUUGACACUGAGGCACGAAAGCGUGGGGAGCGAACAGG
rnacentral:rRNA from 1 species